GCAGUUCAGAGGUUUUGCUAGGAUGUAUUUAAACUAGGAGGGGGGGGCAAAAGGGUGAUAAAACAUCAAUCCAAUUGUCCCCCAAAACAAGGACAGAAGGUGCCUGUAGCAAGUGUUGUUAAAAAUGAUAAGCUUAGAGUCAUGUCUACAAAUGCUCGCAGUUUAGGGAAUAAGAUCCAUGAACUUGUGGCAAUAAUGGCAACUGAUAGUGUAGAUUUAGUCGCUGUUACUGAGACAUG